GAGCAGCAGUGGGGAAUAUUGUACAAUGGGCGCAAGCCUGAUGCAGCCAUGCCGCGUGUGUGAAGAAGGCCUUCGGGUUGUAAAGCACUUUCAGUCGUGAGGAAGGUGGUGUAGUUAAUAGCUGCAUUAUUUGACGUUAGCGACAGAAGAAGCACCGGCUAACUCCGUGCCAGCAGCCGCGGUAAUACGGAGGGUGCGAGCGUUAAUCGGAAUUACUGGGCGUAAAGCGCAUGCAGGUGGUUAGUUAAGUCAGAUGUGAAAGCCCGGGGCUCAACCUCGGAACUGCAUUUGAAACUGGCUGACUAGAGUACUGUAGAGGGGGGUAGAAUUUCAGGUGUAGCGGUGAAAUGCGUAGAGAUCUGAAGGAAUACCAGUGGCGAAGGCGGCCCCCUGGACAGAUACUGACACUCAGAUGCGAAAGCGUGGGGAGCAAACAGGAUUAGAUACCCUGGUAGUCCACGCCGUAAACGAUGUCUACUUGGAGGUUGUGGCCUUGAGCCGUGGCUUUCGGAGCUAACGCGUUAAGUAGACCGCCUGGGGAGUACGGUCGCAAGAUUAAAACUCAAAUGAAUUGACGGGGGCCCGCACAAGCGGUGGAGCAUGUGGUUUAAUUCGAUGCAACGCGAAGAACCUUACCUACUCUUGACAUCCAGAGAACUUAGCAGAGAUGCUUUGGUGCC
rnacentral:rRNA from 1 species